AUUGAACGCUGGCGGAAUGCUUUACACAUGCAAGUCGAGCGGCAGCACGGGGGCAACCCUGGUGGCGAGCGGCGAACGGGUGAGUAAUACAUCGGAACAUGCCCAGUCGUGGGGGAUAACACUUCGAAAGAAGUGCUAAUACCGCAUACGUCCUGAGGGAGAAAGCGGGGGAUCGCAAGACCUCGCGCGAUUGGAGUGGCCGAUGUCAGAUUAGCUAGUUGGUGGGGUAAAGGCCUACCAAGGCAACGAUCUGUAGCUGGUCUGAGAGGAUGAUCAGCCACACUGGGACUGAGACACGGCCCAGACUCCUACGGGAGGCAGCAGUGGGGAAUUUUGGACAAUGGGGGCAACCCUGAUCCAGCCAUUCCGCGUGAGUGAAGAAGGCCUUCGGGUUGUAAAGCUCUUUCGGCAGGAACGAAACGGCGAGCUCUAACAUAGCUUGCUAAUGACGGUACCUGAAGAAGAAACACCGGCUAACUACGU
rnacentral:rRNA from 1 species